rnacentral:tRNA from 2 species
GCGCCCGUAGCUCAAUUGGAUAGAGCGUCGGACUUCGAAUCCGCAGGCUGGGAGUUCAAGUCUCCCCGGGCGCACCA